AAGUGGGAAGACGGCAGCUCAGAGAAGGUGAACUCUAUUGAAGCUGCAAUAUGGCUAUCUAAGCUGAGUACUUCCCUACAUACAUUAUCCCAUUUUACACUCACAACACCCCCUGUUGAGCUAAGUUUUAUAAUCCUCUUGUUACAGAUAACUGAGAAGCGGAGCUACUCACUUCGGAUCACACAGCUCCUCACUGCACAGCAAAGGCUGAUUCUACAUGUCUUGGACUCCAAGGCUACUGGUUUUCCCUGUGAACCACCUUGAGAUUAGGUGGAUGAAAGAUCAACAUUCUAAAUAUUUAAGCUUCUGUUUAGGAUUGCUUAGGUAGUUUCUGGAAUAAAAGUAAGAAAAAAAGAC
rnacentral:lncRNA from 10 species